rnacentral:rRNA from 1 species
AUCUUCCACAAUGGGCGAAAGCCUGAUGGAGCAACGACGCGUGAGUGAAGAAGGUUUCCGGAUCCUAAUACUCUGUUGUAAGGGAAAAAUAAGUACAGUAGUAACUGGCUGUACCUUGACGGUACGUUAUUAGAAAGCCACGUCUAACUAUGUGCCAGCAGCCGCGGUAAUACGUAUGUGGCAAGCGUUGCCCGGAAUUAUUGGGCGUAAAGCGCACGCAGGCGGUUCUUUAAGUCUGAUGUGAAAGCCCACGGCUCAACCGUGGAGGGUCAUUGGAAACUGGGGGACUUGAGUGCAGAAGAGGAAAGUAGAAUUCCAAGUGUAGCGGUGAAAUGCGUAGAGAUUUGGAGGAACACCAGUGGCGAAGGCGACUUUCUGGUCUGUAACUGACGCUGAGGCGCGAAAGCGUGGGGAGCAAACAGG